rnacentral:rRNA from 1 species
UACGGGGGGAGCAAGCGUUGUUCGGAUUUACUGGGCGUAAAGGGCGCGUAGGCGGCCACCGCAAGUCGAUUGUGAAAUCUCCGGGCUUAACUCGGAAAGGUCAACCGAUACUGCGGGGCUAGAGUGCAGAAGGGGCAACUGGAAUUCUCGGUGUAACGGCUGGUAAGUGAAACUGGUCGAUGAGUAAUACGUCGAAGGAAGGGGAAACCAACCCCUUGGCCGGGGCCGGAAAAGGGCCGGGGGGUUUGGCCUUGGGGGGCCUUGAACCAACCUUGGAACCGGCCUUGGAAUUGGUUGGCCGGAAAAAAGGCCGGUUGGGGGGGGAAGGCCAAAAAACCAAGGGGAAUUUUAGGAAAAA